CUUUUUGGUCAUUCUCUACAUUUUAAUGUGUAGUAUUUUUAAUAUUAAAAACAUUUUUAUAAUUAUAUAUAUAAUUUUUAAAUAUUUAUAUAAAUAUUGAUAGGCUUCACCUAAACAAUUAGCAGAAUGUGUUGAUUUGCUUCUUCAGUUGAAAGAACCUGCUGAACAGCUUUGUCAGGAAUUUCUAGCUCAUGCAAAACAGAAGUUAGAUGAAGAUUUAAUGGAAUUAGAACAUCAAAUAAAAUUUCAAUCCGGUGAAAUUGUUGCGGACGGAAAAGAGAGACCUUCAGAUGCUUAUUUAAAUAUUCCAGUUGAUAUAUUAGAAUUUGUGGAUCUAGGCUGUAAUGGAUUUCUCAGCAAUAUUUGUUUGGUUAUUGCUUCAUAUAGUGAUAUGUUUUUAAACAGACUACCCAAUGAAGAUGAUGAUGUG